AUAAUUUGGAACUGAAAUUUAAAGAUUGGAAAGAGUUUUGGAAGCAAGAUGGGCUGCCUGUAGUUUAAGGUUAACUCUAGCUGUGUGGCGUGCUUAUCCAGUGCUAUAUUACUAUUUUCACUGAAAUCAAAAGUACUUAGGUAUGGCUGCCCAUCUUGAAAAACAGGCAGAUCAGUGGAGAGGCUCGUGUCAGCUCCGGGUUGCUUCUCUCACCUCUCCCGGCAGAGCAAAAACCUUGCAAGUUCCCCUC